AUUGAACGCUGGCGGUAUGCUUAACACAUGCAAGUCGAACGGUAAGGCCCUUCGGGGUACACGAGUGGCGAACGGGUGAGUAACACGUGGGUGAUCUGCCCUGCACUUCGGGAUAAGCCUGGGAAACUGGGUCUAAUACCGGAUAGGACCAUGGACUUCACGGUUUGUGGUGGAAAGCUUUUGCGGUGUGGGAUGGGCCCGCGGCCUAUCAGCUUGUUGGUGGGGUAAUGGCCUACCAAGGCGACGACGGGUAGCCGGCCUGAGAGGGUGUCCGGCCACACUGGGACUGAGAUACGGCCCAGACUCCUACGGGAGGCAGCAGUGGGGAAUAUUGCACAAUGGGCGCAAGCCUGAUGCAGCGACGCCGCGUGAGGGAUGACGGCCUUC
rnacentral:rRNA from 1 species